GAUGAACGCUAGCUACAGGCUUAACACAUGCAAGUCGCGGGGCAUCAUGGAGGUUGCUUGCAAUUUCUGAUGGCGACCGGCGCACGGGUGAGUAACGCGUAUCCAACCUUCCCAUUACUACGGCAUACCCCGUUGAAAGGCGGCCUAAUUCCGUAUGCAGUCCGAAGCAGUCAUCUAAUUUGGACGAAAGGUAUAUUCUAUCGGUAAUGGAUGGGGAUGCGUCCGAUUAGCCAGCCGGCGGGGUAACGGCCCACCGGGGCAUCGAUCGGUAGGGGUUCUGAGAGGAAGGUCCCCCACACUGGAACUGAGACACGGUCCAGACUCCUACGGGAGGCAGCAGUGAGGAAUAUUGGUCAAUGGGCGUAAGCCUGAACCAGCCAAGUAGCGUGCAGGAUGACGGCCCUAUGGGUUGUAAACUGCUUUUAUGCGGGGAUAAAGUUGGGGACGUGUCCCUUUAGCAGGUA
rnacentral:rRNA from 1 species